CUGCUCAAGCAAAGCAGAGGGAUGCUGAAAUCCUGAACUUCCAUGAGGAACCAGCAUCUGCUCCAGCCUAACCUUAAAGCACGUAUCUGAACCAAGAGGAGCCCAUGGUCACUUACGUUCAAGUUGAAGGAAAGACAUUUUACCUAGAAAUCCACCACCCACUGCUACACAGGUGUGGAAGUUCAGUCCUGAAGCUGGGAUGCCUCUCCAUCUAUUGGCUUGUCCAGGCCUGCACAAGACUGGAAGUGGUAUGUGUCCCCCAAAUCCUCACUGUAGGGCACAAGAGACUUGGCUUCACCUUUGUUCAUCACUAAAUAGUAGCCUGAGAGGAAGCUGGGCUGGGCUGGAUUCCUCAAAGGUUGCAUCCUUCGGUGACUGGCCAGAGGGUUAUACAUCAGCUGCAUGCAGACUGUUGGAAGGGACCUGGCAGGGUAUGUGCUCAGAGCACACCCAGGAAAGCAGAGUUCACACACAUCAGCCUCAGCAUCCCCGGGCCAGUUGUCUGAAUAGGAAUCUGCUUCAUUUU